GGAGAGAUGCGAGAGUGGUUGAAUCGGCCGGUCUCGAAAAUCGGUAGGUCCAUUGGGCCUCCUGGGUUCAAAUCCCAGUCUCUCCG
rnacentral:tRNA from 1 species